GACGAACGCUGGCGGCGUGCUUAACACAUGCAGGUCGAACGGAAAGGCCCUGCUUUUGUGGGGUGCUCGAGUGGCGAACGGGUGAGUAACACGUGAGUAACCUGCCCUUGACUUUGGGAUAACUUCAGGAAACUGGGGCUAAUACCGGAUAGGAGCUCCUGCUGCAUGGUGGGGGUUGGAAAGUUUCGGCGGUUGGGGAUGGACUCGCGGCUUAUCAGCUUGUUGGUGGGGUAGUGGCUUACCAAGGCUUUGACGGGUAGCCGGCCUGAGAGGGUGACCGGCCACAUUGGGACUGAGAUACGGCCCAGACUCCUACGGGAGGCAGCAGUGGGGAAUAUUGCACAAUGGGCGGAAGCCUGAUGCAGCAACGCCACGUGCGGGAUGACGGCCUUCGGGUUGUAAACCGCUUUCGCCUGUGACGAAGCGUGAGUGACGGUAAUGGGUAAAGAAGCACCGGCUAACUACGUG
rnacentral:rRNA from 1 species